rnacentral:rRNA from 1 species
CAAAAAAACUGGCAAAGAUUAAAUGGUUGACUGAAACAAAAGAAAAACCAACAAUUCAUGUAGGAUUUACUAAAAUUUAAUAAAAAGAGUUUUGUUUAAGUAAAGUCUAGCAAAGAAAGUGCCAGCAGCAGCGGUUAUACUUUCAGGAAACAGAAACAUAUAGAGUAGUCAAUUAAGGAUGUUAAUUGUGGAAGGGUGAAAUCUCAAACAACAAUUUCUAGCUAGAGAAAUCUAAUAACGAAGGGACAGGGAUUAGAUACCCCUUUAUAGAAAUUAAAGAUAGUAGUUAAAUAAACAAAAUCUAAUUGCGUUGGCGGUAGCUUACCUAGCUAGGGAAUCCUGUAUUAUGAUCGAUUACCCACGAUAAAAUUUACUCUAAUAAAUUCUUCCUAUAUCAUUGUUGUUAAGUAGUUUUAAAUAAAAACUUAACAAAAUAAACGAUUUUUAAAACAAAUCAAGACAGGGGACAUAAAAGAAAGAAUGGGGUACCUUUAGCAAAAAUGGAAAUUGUCAGAGCAAAAAUGAAAAAAGAACUUAGAAGUAUAAGUGUAGAGAGCAUCACACUUAGAAUAAGCAAUAAGCUACGUACAUAUCGCCCGUCAUUCUUACAAAAGGUAAGACAAGUCGUAACAAAGUAGAUUAAAAGGAAUUUUAAUCUUG